CGGGGCGUGGCGCAGUCCGGAAGCGCGCACCGUUCGGGUCGGUGAGGUCGUGGGUUCAAAUCCCGCCGCCCCGACUA
rnacentral:tRNA from 1 species